rnacentral:rRNA from 1 species
AGACGGAGGGUUCUAGCGUUGUUCGGAAUGACUGGGCGUAAAGGGCGCGUAGGCGGUUGUAUCAGUUGGGUGUGAAAGCCCCGGGCUUAACCUGGGAACUGCAUUCAAUACUGUAUAACUUGAGGACGGAAGAGGAAAGUGGAAUACCUAGUGUAGAGGUGAAAUUCGUAGAUAUUAGGUGGAACAUCAGAGGCGAAGGCGGCUUUCUGGUCCGUAACUGACGCUGAGGCGCGAAAGCGUGGGGAGCGAACAGGAUUAGAAACCCUAGUAGUCC